GCAUUACUAUGCACCCACACAAUGGAGUUGAGAAAUUAGCUUCUAAACAUACUGAAAGCAGAAUAAUCAUGCGCAGAAAAUGGACUUGGGAGGACCCUGGAAGCUCUUAAAUGCUGGGACUGUGUGGAAAUAUUUCAUACACUGUUAUUGAGUGCCUGGACAUCAAGAUCAGAUCAAUUUGGAAUUUCAUGCAAAUAAAACACACCAACUUAAUGGGAUGUGAAAGAGUUGGCUUCAUAAUAAAUCCUUGUUGAAAGGCACUGGAAUUACAUUUGAAAUGGAAGUGAAACAAAGUUGAAUUUUAUGGCACUGGCUUACAGGCUCUGUCUUGCACUGUUUACAGAUUGACCCAAAUAAAGUGAAGAAGACCAGAAUCAGGACCCAUCCUGGCAUAUACCUUUCAACUGAUAACAUAUGUCAAGAAAAAAAAGCAAUUCUUAAGAAAAAAGAAGCGGUCGGGAGCCAAGAUGGCCAAAUAGGAACAGCUCCAGUCUAUAGCUCCCAGCUUGAGCGACGCAGAAGACGGGUGAUUUCUGCAUUUCCAUCUGAGGUACCGGGUUCAUCUCACUAGGGAGUGCCAGAGAGUGGGUGCAGGUCAGUGGGUGCGUGCACCAUGCGUGAGUCGAUGAAGGGCGAGGCAUUGCCUCACUUGGGAAGCGCAAGGGGUCAGGGAGUUCCCUUUCCUGGUCAAAGAAAGGGGUGACAGAUGGCACCUGGAAAAUCGGGUCACUCCCACCCGAAUACUGUGCUUUUCCCACGGGCUUAAAAAACGGCGCACCAGGAGAUUAUAUCCCGCACCUGGCUCAGAGGGUCCUACGCCCACAGAGUCUCGCUGAUUGCUAGCACAGCAGUCUGAGAUCAAACUGCAAGGCGACAGCGAGGCUGGGGGAGGGGCGCCCACCAUUGCCCAGGCUUGCCUGGGUAAACAAAGCAGCCGGGAAGCUCGAACUGGGUGGAGCCCACCACAGCUCAAGGAGGCCUGCCUGCCUCUGUAGGCUCCACCUCUUGGGGCAGGGCACGGACAAACAAAAAGAUAGCAGUAACCUCUGCAGACUUAAAUGUCCCUGUCUGACAGCUUUGAAGAGAGCAGUGGUUCUCCCAGCAUGCAGCUGGAGAUCUGAGACCGGGCAGACUGCCUCCUCAGAUGGGUCCCUGACCCCUGACCCCCGAGCAGCCUAACUGGGAGGCACCCCCCAGUAGGGGCAGACUGACACCUCACACGACUGGGUACUCCUCCGAGACAAAACUUCCAGAGGAACGAUGAGACAGCAGCAUUUGCAGUUCAUGAAAAUCCGCUGUUCUGCAGACACUGCUGCUGAUACCCAGGCAAACAGGGUCUGGAGUGGACCUCUAGCAAACUCGAACAGACCUGCAGCUGAGGGUCCUGUCUGUUAGAAGGAAAACUAACAAACAGAAAGGACAUCCACACCAAAAACCCAUCUGUACAUCACCAUCAUCAAAGACCAAAAGUAGAUAAACCACAAAGAUGGGGAAAAAACAGAGCAGAAAAACUGGAAACUCUAAAAAGCAGAGCGCCUCUCCUCCUCCAAAGGAACGCAGUUCCUCACCAGCAAUGGAUCAAAGCUGGACGGAGAAUGACUUUGAUGAGCUGAGAGAAGAAGGCUUCAGAUGAUCAAAUUACUCCGAGCUACGGGAGGAUAUUCAAA